rnacentral:rRNA from 1 species
UACGGGGGGGGCAAGCGUUGUUCGGAAUUACUGGGCGUAAAGGGCUCGUAGGUGGCCAACUAAGUCAGACGUGAAAUCCCCAGGCUCAACUUGGGAACUGCGUCUGAUACUGGAUGGCUUGAAUUCGGGAGAGGGAUGCAGAAUUCCAGGUGUAGCGGUGAAAUGCGUAGAUAUCUGGAGGAAUACCGGUGGCGAAGGCGGCAUCCUGGACCGAGAUUGACACUGAUGAGCGAAAGCUAGGGGAGCAAACGAG